GCAGUUGUGGCCGAGUGGUUAAGGCGAUGGACUGGAAAUCCAAUGCGGUUUCCCAUCACAGGUUCGAAUCCUGUCGACUGCG
rfam:Ixodes scapularis strain Wikel colony gcontig_1108378260292, whole genome shotgun sequence.